rnacentral:lncRNA from 1 species
UCAGAGAGCUUCCGGGUUGGUGAAGACGUAGGGAUGGGGAGAGUGGUCUCCUGGAAAGAACAUGGAAGCUCCGUGCCCUUUCCCCAUAUCUUGUCCUCUGUGUCUCUUCCAUCUGGCUGUUCCUGAGUUAGCUUCAUGGAUGCUUCUCAGUGGAGACUUACAACAUAUGGAAGUAGGACUUUGACUCCGAUUCACGCUGCUCACGUGGCUGGGACCCUGCACAACCAAGUGCCCAUCCACAUCGCGGGGACAUGUGCUGCUGCCACAGAGAUUUCUACCUGAAUGGCCUUAAUGGCCUUGAGAUUCCUUCCAACUCUUCCACGAAUCUACGUGUCCUGGAUGGUGGAGGGAGAAAAUGAGGUUUGUUUUCUAAAUCCAACACCCAUAUCUAGCGGACUAUGGCAUAUUAAGUGCCACAAAUGAAACAAGGAAUGUGG